rnacentral:rRNA from 1 species
UACGUAGGGGGCAAGCGUUGUCCGGAUUCAUUGGGCGUAAAGAGCUCGUAGGCGGUUUGUCGCGUCUGCUGUGAAAACCUAAGGCUCAACCUUGGGCUUGCAGUGGGUACGGGCAGACUAGAGUGCGGUAGGGGUGACUGGAAUUCCUGGUGUAGCGGUGGAAUGCGCAGAUAUCAGGAGGAACACCGAUGGCGAAGGCAGGUCACUGGGCCGCAAACUGACGC